AUUGAACGCUGGCGGCAGGCCUAACACAUGCAAGUCGAACGGUAACAGGAAGAAGCUUGCUUCUUUGCUGACGAGUGGCGGACGGGUGAGUAAUGUCUGGGAAACUGCCUGAUGGAGGGGGAUAACUACUGGAAACGGUAGCUACUACCGCAUAACGUCGCAAGACCACAGAGGGGGACUUUCGGGCCUCUUGCCAUCGGAUGUGCCCAGAUGUGGUUAGCUAGUAGGUUGGGUAACGGCUCACCUAGGCGACGAUCCCUAGCUGGUCUGAGAGGAUGACCAGCCACACUGGAACUGAGACACGGUCCAGACUCCUACGUGAGGCAGCAGUGGGGAAUAUUGCACAAUGGGCGCAAGCCUGAUGCAGCCAUGCCGCGUGUAUGAAGAAGGCCUUCGGGUUGUAAAGUACUUUCAGCGGGGAGGAAGGGAUUAAAGUUAAUACCUUUGCUCAUUGACGUUACCCGCAGAAGAAGCACCGGCUAACUCCGUG
rnacentral:rRNA from 1 species